AGAAUGAACGCUGGCGGCGUGGAUAAGACAUGCAAGUCGAACGAGACUUUUUUUGUAGUAAUACAGAGAAAGUUUAGUGGCGAACGGGUGCGUAACACGUGAGUAAUCUGCCGAGAAGUGGGGGAUAGCUUGCCGAAAGGCAAAUUAAUACCGCAUAUGGCCAUCCUUCGAUUGGAGGAAAAGCCAAAGCCGUAAGGCGCUUCUUGAUGAACUCGCGGCCUAUCAGCUAGAUGGCGGGUAACGGCCCACCAUGGCUAUGACGGGUAGCUGGUCUGAGAGGACGACCAGCCACACUGGAACUGAGACACGGUCCAGACACCUACGGGUGGCAGCAGUCGAGAAUUUUCACAAUGGGGGAAACCCUGAUGGAGCGACGCGCGUGGAGGAUGAAGGCCCUCGGGUCGUAAACUCCUGUCAUGCGGGAACAGAAAGUGAUAGUACCGCAAGAGGAAGAGACGGCUAACUCUGUGCCAGCAGCCGCGGUAA
rnacentral:rRNA from 1 species